CGGCUUGGAGCGGCAGUGCCCGGGUUGUAGCUUCUGCCUCCGGGUGGAGGCUGACGGGAAAUGGGGCGGGGCCGGACCUCACUGCUUCCGGCCAGCUCAGCGCCCGCCCUCCGGAGCAGGAUUCGCGGCGCCGCGGCUGUACUGACGCGGAGCGGGCGGUUUUCGGCGUCGGCCGCUCCCGACGCUUCGCGACCCUCCAGCUCUCAGGCCGGGGCUUCCGCCUCCGCAUCCCCCUUCCCCCCGCAGGCCGGAUCUGAGCGGGACGGGCCCAGCGGCAGUGCUGUGGACGAGGCGCGUGUCGCUGCCGCCAUGCCGGACUUGCUGCGCUCCGGCCCCACGCAAAUGGACUACAAGGGUCAAAAACUAGCAGAACAGAUUUUUCAAGGAAUCAUUCUCGUCUCUGCAGUAAGUAUAGUGGAACCAUGGCAGCAAACUCCUUGUCUUGUGUAUAACUGUAAACUGCAUCAGACUGCUGGAGGGCCUGGUGGCAAAGUGGUGGGGCUGCCCAUGAUGGGGAUAGCUCCUGUAAAAUACCACAAUGUUGCAACCUCCAGAGAAAGGUAAUUGGCUUUAUCUAUGGUUACAUCACUGAACAAUUUGGUUGGACUGUUUACAUAGUUAUGGUUGGAUUUGCUUUAUCUUGUCUGUUAACACUUCCUCCAUGGCCUAUGUAUCGUCGCAGUCCUCUAAAAUGGCUACCUG